rnacentral:rRNA from 1 species
AGUGAACGCUGGCGGCGUGCUUAACACAUGCAAGUCGAACGAGAACGGAUUAUAGCUUGCUAUAAUUGUCAGCUAAGUGGCGCACGGGUGAGUAAUGUAUAGGUAAUAUGCCUCUUACUAAGGGAUAACAAUUGGAAACGAUUGCUAAUACCUUAUAUUCCUUUUUAUCAAACGAUAAAAAGGGAAAGAUUUAUUGGUAAGAGAUUAGCCUGUAUUGUAUCAGUUAGUUGGUGGGGUAAUGGCCUACCAAGACAAUGACGCAUAACUGGUUUGAGAGGAUGAUCAGUCACACUGGAACUGAGACACGGUCCAGACUCCUGCGGGAGGCAGCAGUGGGGAAUAUUGCACAAUGGACGAAAGUCUGAUGCAGCAACGCCGCGUGGAGGAUGACACAUUUCGGUGCGUAAACUCCUUUUAUAUAAGAAGAUAAUGACGGUAUUAUAUGAAUAAGCACCGGCUAACUCCGUGCCAGCCGCCGCCGUAA